GUAUUACCGGGAGUUCCCUUCAAGCACUUUACGAAGCAUUUUUUAACAAUAUGUGAAGUGUUUGUGGAAACUCUUGGUGCAAC
rfam:Hordeum vulgare subsp. vulgare, WGS project CAJW01000000 data, contig: morex_contig_272351